AAGUCGAGCGCGUUUCGAAGGUGCUUGCACCUUCAAUGAAACGAGCGGCGGACGGGUGAGUAACACGUAGGUAACCUACCUUUAUGACUGGGAUAACCACGGGAAACCGGGGCUAAUACCGGAUAAGAUUUAGCUUCGCAUGAAGCAGAAGUAAAAGGCAGUUUCGGCUGUCACAUAAAGAUGGACCUGCGGCGCAUUAGCUAGUUGGAGAGGUAAGAGCUCCCCAAGGCGACGAUGCGUAGCCGACCUGAGAGGGUGAUCGGCCACACUGGGACUGAGACACGGCCCAGACUCCUACGGGAGGCAGCAGUAGGGAAUCUUCCGCAAUGGACGAAAGUCUGACGGAGCAACGCCGCGUGAGUGAAGAAGGUUUUCGGAUCGUAAAGCUCUGUUGUUAAGGAAGAACACCAUGGAUAGGAAAUGAUCGAUGGAUGACGGUACUUAACCAGAAAGCCACGGCUAACUACGUGCCAGCAGCCGCGGUAAUACGUAGGUGGCAAGCGUUAUCCGGAAUUAUUGGGCGUAAAGCGCGCGUAGGCGGUUUCUUAAGUCUGAUGUGAAAGCCCCCGGCUCAACCGGGGAGGGUCAUUGGAAACUGGGGAACUUGAGUACAGAAGAGGAGAGUGGAAUUCCAUGUGUAGCGGUGAAAUGCGCAGAGAUAUGGAGGAACACCAGUGGCGAAGGCGGCUCUCUGGUCUGAAACUGACGCUGAGGUGCGAAAGCGUGGGGAUCAAACAGGAUUAGAUACCCUGGUAGUCCACGCUGUAAACGAUGAGUGCUAAGUGUUAGGGGGUUUCCGC
rnacentral:rRNA from 1 species